GUAAUAAAAUUAUAAUUUUUUAUAGAUAGAAACCAACCUGGCUAACGCCGGUUUGAUCUCAGAUCAUGUAAGAAUUUAAAAGUCGAACAGACUGAAAAUUUGAACG